AGUCUCUUGUGAANUCUAACGGCUUAACCGUUAAACUGCUUGAGAAACUGAUAAUCUAGAGUAAGGGAGAGGCAGAUGGAAUUCUUGGUGUAGGGGUAAAAUCCGUAGAGAUCAAGAAGAAUACCCCNUUGCGAAAGCGAUCUGCUGGAACUUAACUGACGCUAAUGCGUGAAAGCGUGGGGAGCAAACAGGAUUAGAUACCCUGGUAGUCCACGCCCUAAACGAUGUAUACUAGUUGUUGCUUCGCUAGUCGAGGCAGUAAUGCACCUAACGGAUUAAGUAUACCGCCUGGGGAGUACGGUCGCAAGAUUAAAACUCAAAGGAAUAGACGGGGACCCGCACAAGCGGUGGAGCAUGUGGUUUAAUUCGAAGAUACGCGAAGAACCUUACCCGGACUUGAUAUCUAACAAAUCAUCCAGAGAUGGAAGAGUGUCUGCUUGCAGAAAUGUUAAGACAGGUGCUGCACGGCUGUCGUCAGCUCGUGUCGUGAGAUGUUGGGUUAAGUCCCGCAACGAGCGCAACCCACGUCAUUAGUUGCUAACGGUUCGGCCGAGCACUCUAAUGAGACUGCCUUCGCAAGGAGGAGGAAGGUGUGGACGACGUCAAGUCAUCAUGGCCCUUAUGUCCGGGGCGACACACGUGCUACAAUGGCGUAUACAAUGAGACGCAAUAUCGCGAGAUGGAGCAAAUCUAUAAAAUACGUCCCAGUUCGGAUUGGAGUCUGCAACUCGACUCCAUGAAGCCGGAAUCGCUAGUAAUCGUAGAUCAGCCAUGCUACGGUGAAUACGUUCCCGGGUCUUGUACUCACCGCCCGUCACACCAUGGGAGUUGAUUUCACUCAAAGCCCAAAUACCAAACNGGUUAUG
rnacentral:rRNA from 1 species